GAUGAAGAACGCAGCGAAAUGCGAUACGUAAUGUGAAUUGCAGAAUUCAGUGAAUCAUCGAGUCUUUGAACGCACAUUGCGCCCCCUGGUAUUCCGGGGGGCAUGCCUGUCCGAGCGUCAUUGCUGCCCUCAAGCCCGGCUUGUGUGUUGGGCCUCCGUCCUCCUCCCGGGGGACGGGCCCGAAAGGCAGCGGCGGCACCGCGUCCGGUCCUCGAGCGUAUGGGGCUUCGUCACCCGCUCUUGUAGGCCCGGCCGGCGCUUGCCGACACAUCAAUCUUUUUUCCAGGUUGACCUCGGAUCAGGUAGGGAUACCCGCUGAACUUAAGCAUAUCAAUAAGCGGAGGA
rnacentral:misc_RNA from 1 species